rnacentral:rRNA from 1 species
GAUGAACGCUAGCGGCAGGCUUAAUACAUGCAAGUCGAGGGACAGCACAGGUAGCAAUACUGGGUGGUAACCGGCAAACGGGUGCGGAACACGUACACAACCUUCCUUUAAGUGGGGGAUAGCCCAGAGAAAUUUGGAUUAAUACCCCGUAAUAUAGUUGAAUGGCAUCAUUUGAUUAUUAUAGCUACGGCGCUUAAUGAUGGGUGUGCGGCUGAUUAGAUAGUUGGCGGGGUAACGGCCCACCAAGUCUACGAUCAGUAGCUGAUGGGAGAGCAUGAUAGGCCACACGGGCACUGAGACACGGGCCCGACUCCUACGGGAGGCAGCAGUAAGGAAUAUUGGUCAAUGGACGCAAGUCUGAACCAGCCAUGCCGCGUGAAGGAUUAAGGUCCUCUGGAUUGUAAACUUCUUUUAUUUGGGACGAAAAAGGGCCUUUCUAGGUCAACUGACGGUACCAGAUGAAUAAGCACCGGCUAACUCCGUGCCAGCCGCCGCCGUAAGAC